rnacentral:SRP_RNA from 1 species
GCUGGGCAUAGUGGUGCAUGCCUGUAAUCCCAGCUACUCGGGAGGCUGAGGCAGGAGAAUCACUUGAACCCAGGAGACGGAGGUUGCAGUGAGUCGAGAUGGCACCACUGCACUCCAGCCUGGGGGACAGAGUGAGACUCUGUCUCAA